GCCGGCGUACUCCAAUCGGCAGAGAGGGCGAUUUUAGGGGUCGCACAGUGCGGGUUCGAAUCCCGUCGCCGGCAC
rnacentral:tRNA from 1 species